rnacentral:snRNA from 1 species
AUACCUUUCUCGGCCUUUUGGCUAAGAUCAAGUGUAGUAUCUGUUCUUAUCAGUUUAAUAUCUGAUAUGUGGGCCAUGUGCCUACUUCGAUAUUAAAUUUAUUUUUCGUGGGGGAGGGCCCAUCACGGUGGCUUGCCACUGGGGCCCUCGCGCGUCGCCCAGGCGUUGCACUGCUGCCCGGGCCUGGCGCACCCCAA